rnacentral:rRNA from 1 species
AUUGAACGCUGGCGGCAUGCUUUACACAUGCAAGUCGAACGGUAACAGGGUGCUUGCACCGCUGACGAGUGGCGAACGGGUGAGUAAUGCGUCGGAACGUGCCGAGUAGUGGGGGAUAACGCAGCGAAAGUUGUGCUAAUACCGCAUACGUACUGAGGUAGAAAGUGGGGGACCUUCGGGCCUUACGCUAUUCGAGCGGCCGACGUCUGAUUAGCUAGUAGGUGAGGUAAAGGCUCACCUAGGCGACGAUCAGUAGCGGGUCUGAGAGGGUGAUCCGCCACACUGGGACUGAGACACGGCCCAGACUCCUACGGGAGGCAGCAGUGGGGAAUUUUGGACAAUGGGCGAAAGCCUGAUCCAGCCAUGCCGCGUGUCUGAAGAAGGCCUUCGGGUUGUAAAGGACUUUUGUCGGGGAGGAAAUCCCCAGCGUUAAUACCGCUGGGGGAUGACAGUACCUGAAGAAUAAGCACCGGCUAACUACGUGCCAGCAGCCGCGGUAAAAC